rnacentral:rRNA from 1 species
CCUACGGGAGGCUGCAGUGGGGAAUAUUGCACAAUGGGGGGAACCCUGAUGCAGCGACGCCGCGUGAGUGAAGAAGUAUUUCGGUAUGUAAAGCUCUAUCAGCAGGGAAGAAAAUGACGGUACCUGACUAAGAAGCCCCGGCUAACUACGUGCCAGCAGCCGCGGUAAUACGUAGGGGGCAAGCGUUAUCCGGAUUUACUGGGUGUAAAGGGAGCGUAGACGGUUAUGCAAGUCUGAGGUGAAAGCCCAGGGCUCAACCAUGGGACUGCUUUGGAAACGGUAAAACUGGGGUGCAGGGGGGGAAGCGGAAUUCCUGGUGUAGCGGUGAAAUGCGUAGAUAUUAGGAAGAACCCC